UACGUAGGUGGCAAGCGUUGUCCGGAUUUAUUGGGUUUAAAGGGUGCGUAGGCGGCUUUGUAAGUCAGUGGUGAAAUAUGGCAGCUCAACUGUCAGGGUGCCAUUGAUACUGCGGAGCUUGAGUACAGAUGAGGUAGGCGGAAUUGACGGUGUAGCGGUGAAAUGCUUAGAUAUCGUCAAGAACACCGAUAGCGAAGGCAGCUUACUGGGCUGUAACUGACGCUGAGGCACGAAAGUGUGGGGAUCAAACAGA
rnacentral:rRNA from 1 species